AACGAACGCUGGCGGCAGGCUUAACACAUGCAAGUCGAACGCACUCUUCGGAGUGAGUGGCAGACGGGUGAGUAACGCGUGGGAAUCUACCCAGUCCUUCGGAAUAGCUCCUGGAAACGGGAAUUAAUACCGGAUACGCCCUUUUGGGGAAAGAUUUAUCGGGAUUGGAUGAGCCCGCGUAAGAUUAGCUAGUUGGUGGGGUAAUGGCCUACCACGGCGACGAUCUUUAGCCGGUCUGAGAGGAUGAUCAGCCACACUGGGACUGAGACACGGCCCAGACUCCUACGGGAGGCAGCAGUGGGGAAUAUUGGACAAUGGGCGCAAGCCUGAUCCAGCCAUGCCGCGUGAGUGAUGAAGACCUUAGGGUUGUAAAGCUCUUUCACCGGUGAAGAUAAUGACGGUAACCGGAGAAGAAGCCCCGGCUAACUUCGUGCCAGCCGCCGCAGUAA
rnacentral:rRNA from 1 species